UUAAGGCAUACAUAUUGCCCAACACACUGACCAACUAUUAAAUUCGGUUAGUCAAAAUUGUCACUUAUUAUUAUGCCCCCCUUCGAAGAAGAGGGGGUAUAUUGUUUUGCUCAUGUCGGUCCGUCCGUAUGUCCGUCCGUCCACCAGAUGGUUUCCGGAUGAUAACUCAAGAACGCUUAGGCCUAGGAUAAUGAAACUUCAUAGGUACAUUGAUCAUGACUCGCAGAUGACCCCUAUUGAUUUUGAGGUCACUAGGUCAAGGUCACGGUGACCAGAAAUAGUACAAUGGUUUCCGGAUGAUAACUCAAGAAGGCUUAUGCCUAGGAUCAUGAAACUUCAUAGGUACAUUGAUCAUGACUCUGAGAUGACCCCUAUUGAUUUUCAGGUCACUAAGUCAAAGGUCAAGGUCACAGUGACUCGAAACAGUAAAAUGGUUUCCUGAUGAUAACUCAAGAAUAAUGAGGCCUAGGAUCAUGAAACUUCAUAGGUACAUUGAUCAUGAAUGGCAGAUGACCCCUGUUGAUUUUCAGGUCACUAGGUCGAAGGUCAAGGUCACUGACAAAAAACGUAUUCACACAAUGGCUGCCACUACAACUGACAGCCCAUAUGGGGGGCAUGCAUGUUUUACAAACAGCCCUUGUUAUUGUUAUUCGUUGAUACAUGCAUAUUAGUUUUAGGGUGAACUAACUCCCAAUUCUAACUAAAGAAUGGCUUAAGGAUUGUUAGAAGAAACCUGCCUUGUAUUCUUUUUCAACUCCAGCUAUCAGCUCUUCUACAAGGCAAGCAGCUCUAUGGACACCGGCUCCAUGUACCAGUUAUGUAACCUGAUUAACCGCAGAGAUGUGACAGGAUCAGACGAUGUUGUGCAAAUAUUUCGGUUCCAAACACUGAGGACUGGGACUUGGGAGAUAAGCCUGUCUGAGAUGUAAAAAAAUGUCAGCAUCGGGGUGGUCACUCCAAAAUCGGAAGACUGGGAUGCUGACAUUGCGGUGGGGAAACAUCCUCCUUUCUAUCUCCGCGUGGGCAAAGUAAGGCAGCGACAAAUUAACCGAAUGCACAGAUGCUGGACCUUUCGCUGCGUGCCUGUCAAUUUAAGAUAGUCAAAAUAUUAAAUAAACUUGUUGAAACGUU